rnacentral:misc_RNA from 1 species
AGCAGCCGCGGUAAUUCCAGCUCCAAUAGCGUAUAUUAAAGUUGCUGCAGUUAAAAAGCUCGUAGUUGAAUUUCGGGAUCAAUAUGUUGGUCGUGCCUCGGUACGUACUAGCUUAUUGGUUUCUUCCUUCUGACGAACCAUAAUGUCAUUUAUUUGGUGUUAUGGGGAAUCAGGACUGUUACUUUGAAAAAUUAGAGUGUUUAAAGCAGGCUCACGCUUGAAUACAUUAGCAUGGAAUAAUGAAAUAGGACGUUUGAUUCUAUUUUGUUGGUUUCUAGGAUCGACGUAAUGAUUAAUAGGGAUAGUUGGGGGCAUUAGUAUUCAAUUGUCAGAGGUGAAAUUCUUGGAUUUAUUGAAGACUAACUACUGCGAAAGCAUUUGCCAAGGAUGUUUUCAUUAAUCAAGAACGAAAGUUAGGGGAUCGAAGACGAUCAGAUACCGUCGUAGUCUUAACCAUAAACUAUGCCGACUAGGGAUCGGAUGAUGUUAAUUUUUUAAUGACUCAUUCGGCGCCUUAAC